rnacentral:rRNA from 1 species
AGAUUGAACGCUGGCGGAAUGCUUUACACAUGCAAGUCGAACGGCAGCACGGGGGCAACCCUGGUGGCGAGUGGCGCACGGGUGAGUAAUACAUCGGAACGUGUCCUAGAGUGGGAGAUAGCCCGGCGAAAGCCGGAUUAAUACCGCAUACGCUCGAAAGAGGAAAGUGGGGGAUCGUAAGACCUCACGCCCAAGGAGCGGCCGAUGCCGGAUUAGCUUGUUGGUGAGGUAAAAGCUCACAAGGCGACGAUCCGUAGCUGGUCUGAGAGGACGACCAGCCACACUGGGACUGAGACACGGCCCAGACUCCGUACGGGAGGCAGCAGUGGGGAAUUUGGACAAGUGGGGAACCCUG